rnacentral:rRNA from 1 species
AAUAUUGCACAAUGGGCGCAAGCCUGAUGCAGCGACGCCGCGUGGAGGAUGAAGGNUUNNGGGUCNUNAACCCCUGUCUGGGGNNNNNAAUACUGACAUNUCCCACGAAGGAAGCCCCGGCACACUACGUUCCAGCAGCCGCGGUAAUCCGUAGGGGGCGAGCGUUGUCCGGAAUUACUGGGCUUAAAGCGCGCGCAGGUGGCUUGUUAAGUCAGGUGUCAAAAUGCGGGGCUCAACCCCGUACCGCACUUGAAACUGGCAGGCUUGAGUGCAGGAGAGGGAAGUGGAAUUCCUAGUGUAGCGGUGAAAUGCGUAGAUAUUAGGAGGAACACCAGUGGCGAAGGCGACUUCCUGGACUGUAACUGACACUGAGGCGCGAAAGCUAGGGGAGCAAAC